ensembl:lncRNA
AACAAAGAGUCCUCUUCUUGUGCAAAUUUGCAGUCAUAUUUCCCUACUGCAUACUUUGUGGUUUUCUCUUAACUUCUUUCCAUUUUGACAUGGUGGGGGAAGCAGGUGCAAUUCAAGCUGUCAGGUUUGAAAUACACAGAGAGGAAAUAGCUGUCUUGUCCCUAUCUGACACCACAGUGCACAUGUAUGUGUGUGCAGACCUCAGGCUUUAAGCUUAUCUUGGAGCUAACGAAUGGAAACACCCUCUGCAAAGAGGCCUUUCAUUUUAGCUUUUAUCUAAUUUUCUGUGUAAAUGUAGCCUACGGGUAUGUAUUGCUGUGUUUAUCAUAUAAAGUCUCCUCCCAUAUUUCUCUCAACACACACCCCACUGGAGAGACAAAUUUGACAAACUUGAACAAAGAACAAAAUAUUGCAUGUUAACAUCAGACGGAGACUGACAUUUCCUUCUUUGUGAAGCAGAAAAGAAAGUUUGUUAGCUUCACAUCCACGAUAAGAAUCUCCUCUUCCACUGAAUCCAAAAGGUGCUCUGUUGGAUUGAGAUCUGGUGAGUGCAGAGGCCAUUUGAGUACAAGUAAUUCAUUGUCAUGUUCAAGAAACCAGUUUGAGAUGAUCUGAGCUUUGUGACAUGGUGCGUUAUCCUGCUGGACGCAGCCAAUGAGGAGAUGGGCACACCAUCAAAAAUUAAGACUCAUUACAAACGCCAACAUUUCUCCAGUCUUCUUUUGUUCAGUUUUGGUGAGCAAGUUAUAGCCUCAGUUUCCUGUUCUUAGCUGACAGGAGCAGUAAGCGAUGUGGUCUUCUGCUGCUGUAGUCCAUUUUGUGCAUUCAGAGAUGGUCUUCUGCAUACCUUCAUUGCUGCAAGUGAAUAUCUGCGUUACUUUCUAUCAUAAAAGUACUUUCACCCUGACAACGACUGCACAC